UCAAGCUACUAAGGGCAUACGGUGGAUGCCUAGGCGCCAAGAGCCGAAGAAGGACGCGGUAAGCUGCGAAAAGCCACGGGGAACUGCAAGCAAGUAUUGAUCCGUGGAUAUCCGAAUGGGGAAACCCGGCCAUCGUCAUGGAUGGUCACCCGCAAGGGAGGGAACCUGGGGAACUGAAACAUCUAAGUACCCGGAGGAAGAGAAAUCAAACGAGAUGCCCACAGUAGCGGCGAGCGAAGAGGGCAGAGCCCAAACCGAGAAGCUCCGGCUUUUCGGGGUUGAGGACCGGCAGAAUCGAAGUCAGGCCUAGUUGAAUUACCUGGAAAGGUAAGCGAGAGAGGGUAAAAGCCCCGUAGACGAAAGGCAGAGCAGAGAGGCCGAGAUCCAGAGUACCACGAAGCACGAGGAAUUUUGUGGGAAGCAGGGGGGACCACCCUCCAAGGCUAAAAACUACUUGGCGACCGAUAGCGCAUAGUACCGUGAGGGAAAGGUGAAAAGAACCCCGGGAGGGGAGUGAAAUAGUACCUGAAACCGUAUGUCUACAAGCAGUCGAAGCGAAAGCGACGGCGUGCCUAUUGAAGAAUGAACCAACGAGUUAUCUGCACUAGCGAGGUUAAGUGGAAGACACGGAGCCGCAGCGAAAGCGAGUCUUAAGAGGGCGCUAGUUAGUGUAGGUAGACCCGAAACCGCAGUGAUCUACCCAUGUCCAGGUUGAAGCGCAGGUAAAAUUGCGUGGAGGACCGAACCGGUGAGCGUUGAAAAGCUUUCGGAUGAGAUGUGGGUAGGGGUGAAAUUCCAAUCGAACGCGGAGAUAGCUGGUUCUCCCCGAAAUAGCUUUAGGGCUAGCCUGAGGUAGUAAGUAUAGGCGGUAGAGCACUGAUCGGGCUAGGGGCCGUAAAGGUUACCGAACCCUGUCAAACUCCGAAUGGAUAUACUGUAGAGCCUUGGAGUCAGACUACGAGUGAUAAGAUCCGUGGUCAAAAGGGAAACAGCCCAGACCACCAGCUAAGGUCCCCAAUGUCGUACUAAGUGGAAAAGGAUGUGGGGUUUCAUAAACAACCAGGAUGUUGGCUCAGAAGCAGCCACCAUUUAAAGAGUGCGUAAUAGCUCACUGGUCGAGAGACCCUGCGCCGAAGAUUCCCGGGGCUAAAGUACGAAACCGAAGCUGUGGCUGUAUACGUAAAGUAUACGGGGUAGGGGAGCGUUCCCAUAGGGUAGAAGUCGAACUGGAAGGUUCGGUGGACUUGUGGGAAGUGAGAAUGUUGGUAUGAGUAGCGAAAAGAAAGGUGAGAAUCCUUUCCACCGAAAGCAUAAGGAUUCCUGAGCAACGAUCGUCGUCUCAGGGUAAGUCGGGACCUAAUCCGAGGCAGAGAGCGUAGGAGAUGGACAACUGGUUGAUAUUCCAGUACCGGUAGUAAUUGUUUGAGCAAUGGAGUGACACAGAAGGGCAGGCAAGCAUGCGAAUGGAAGAGCAUGUGUAAGCGUGUAGGGUGGUGCAUAGGCAAAUCCGUGCACUGAAAGCCUGAGGCGUGAUGCGGAGUGAGCAGAGAUGCGAGCGAAGUUGUUGACCCCACACUGUCGAGAAAAGCUUCUAGUGAGAGAGCUACCGCCCGUACCGUAAACCGACACAGGUAUGCGGGGAGAGAAUCCUAAGGUGCGCGGGAGAACCCUCGUUAAGGAACUCGGCAAAAUGUACCCGUAACUUCGGGAUAAGGGUAGCCACUGUUGUGAAGUCCCAUGCGGAUGGAGCAUAGAGUGGUCGCAGAGAAGAGGCCCAAGCGACUGUUUACCAUAAACACAGGUGCCUGCUAAAGCGAAAGCUGACGUAUAGGUGCUGACACCUGCCCAGUGCCGGAAGGUUAAGGAAGGAUGUUCGGAUUAGUCCAAAGCAUUCGACUGAAGCCCCGGUGAACGGCGGCCGUAACUAUAACGGUCCUAAGGUAGCGAAAUUCCUUGUCGGGUAAGUUCCGACCCGCACGAAAGGUGUAACGAUUUGGGCACUGUCUCAACGAGGGACCCGGUGAAAUUGAAAUACCUGUGAAGAUGCAGGUUACCCGCGACUGGACAGAAAGACCCCAUGGAGCUUUACUGUAACCUGACAUUGGGUUUUGAUACAUUACGUACAGGAUAGGUGGGAGGCAUGGAAAGCUGGACGCUAGUCUGGCUGGAGCCGCCGUUGGGAUACCACCCUUGAUGUAUUGAAAUUCUAACCGCGAGAGUAACGAAAUCCGGGACAGUGUCAGGCGGGCAGUUUGACUGGGGCGGUCGCCUC
rnacentral:rRNA from 1 species